AUAUAUUAAAAUGUUGAUAAAAAAGGUUAAUUGUUUUUGUUUUCAAGAAAAAUCAUAAAAGCUUUGUUGAUAUGAACCUGUGCGUAUUGCGCCACUUGUAAAACUGGUUGUGUGGUGUUAAUUUCUCUGUUUUGAUCAUUGUCACAGAUUGUUGGAGACUGCACUCCUUGUGAAUCAGGAGACAGUGGAUAUUUGAGACUGAUCAAUCGUGGUUCAGAGCGUGACGCAACUUUCAGAGGCCCAUGACAUCACCCAGUCACAAAGGUUUUUCACUUAUUUUUGCGGGCGUCAUAUCAGUACAACAUAAAAAUCCACCAUAAACUGAAGAAUUCAAGAUGCAAGUAAACGUGUUAGUUGUAAUUAGAAUUGAGGAAAUAUAAAACACAAUGAGAAUACACAAAAAAUUCACAUUCACACUUUGUCAGGCCUUGGCUUGCCCGUGGUGAUGUUGCUGUGCCAAUACUAAUAACAUCUGAGCGACUGUCACCAGUAAAGUAUGAGGGAUUGAACAUCAAUGCAGCAUUUUAACAUUUUUAUAAUCUCUUGGAUCAUGUUCUUAUGUUUUUUUUUUUCCAACUGUGAUACUUUGUAUUAUUGCUCGAUAAACUGGCACAUAGGCUUGAUUUCCAAAUGAAUUCUACAAAAAUGAGUUGUGACAACAUCUUAAAGACAAACGGCAAAAGAAAUGAAAUUAAAUACAGCAGACAUCUCGACUUUGGCAAAUUUAACUUUAAAAAAAAUACUGUCAAUGCAUUGUAGUGGAUAAUAGAUAUGAGACAAAACCUUAUUUUAUAAAAAAUAAAUACAAAAGAACCAAAAAAGAAAAUAAUCAUACAACUGUGCUAUAAGUGCCACUAACUCCUUGCCACUUGAAGCCACAAUUAGGGGAGUGCUUUCAACCUAGAAAAUGAAGGGAGAAGGGAGCAGCUCCACACUUUGGUACCUUGGCUUGUUCCAUGCAUCACCUAAAGGGUGACAGUGAUGAAGCAAGACCAUCUACCAUUGUGGAUUUUCUCUGACUCCCUUCUCUGUUAAGUGAAACGUUCUUAGCAGCCAUCUCUUUCAUGCAGGUUACCAAGGUCAAUCUGAAUGCCUUAUCAACUGUUCUUUUGAACUAACACUAGAAAUGUAUAUACAAAGAAUGCACUUUAUUUCUGUGUUGUUGUUUUUUUUUCUUCUUUUUUUUAAGACUUGGGUAAAACCCCAGCUUCUUAUCCUUGCGUAACAACUCGACUGCUCUCUUGAGCACCUCUCCAACUUUCACUAGCCAAUCAAGUAACCAAUCUAAACCCACAUAUGACACACUAACUGUAUACAUAAAUCCAAUUUAAUUGAGCCUUUAGCAUGUGCAAAAGUUUUAGCAUGUGCAAAACUAGCGGCAUGAUCAGGGACUGGUCAACGGUUUAGUUAAACACAAGCAGUGAUCAUGGUGUUCUUGCACUUGCUUGCAAUUUUAGCAUUACAAUAAGGCUCUCUUCAAUCUGGCAACAAUACAUGCACCUUAAACAUGAAAUCCCCAAUCCCAUGCUAACUGCAUUCAGAAUAAUAAGUUAAGGAUUUUCAAGGCAGUUGCACUACAGUAUAAGAAUAACAUUCAUAGCAAAAGACCUCAAGUACAUCAAACACUGUUCGAAUCUGGAUCUUCAAAAUGCGCAAUACAUUGCUGAUUGCCGUGUACAUUCACAUCCGCCAGCACUAUGGUAAAUCCCAUUAAGACAUUUGUGUGAUUUUUCCAGUUGAUCUGAUACUUAUUCCUAAAUGUUGGAUUGAAUACAACUUCAUGCUCAUGUAUUUUCAUACUGUAUUCCAUUUAUGUGUUUGAUUAUUUGUGGAUUGUUUUGGCCUUUCACAGUUUAGCACAAAUGCUUCACAAGAUCUCAGGUAAGCGAUCUGUAGCCUGUUUGCUUUAGGUUUACACUGCCUUUCAUGUUGAUAGUUUAAAUAUCCCAUCAUGGAUUUAAUCAGCCCAACCUUUCUUCUUAAGGAUGUUAAGUGCAUUCAAACCAAAAGUCAAUUUUAAGGGAGACAGGUGAAUGCUAUGUCUAAUUUGACUGCCACACGCAACUGGCAAAGCUGUGUCUAGUGAAUUGCUUUCUUGGUGCCUUUGUGUUUCAACCCACAUGGCUAAAAUAAAGACGUCCUCACAAGUAAAGGGAGAAGCAUCACAUAACUGAACUGUAGUCAAAACGGCGCAUUCAGAUUAAUCAUUUUCAAGGCCUUCUUACGAGAAAAAGGACAUUUCACAAUAUCCUAAAAGAUGACAGUAAGAAUUUUAGAAUGAACUUAAAUUACAUAGAAAUAUCAAAAGAAACAGCUCCACUUUUAAGACUUGCCAUGUGAAAGAUGGCAUUUUCUUGCUCAUUUUUCUUUCAAAGACGUUUCAUGCAACAACAAUUUCUUUGAACAAUGAAACACAUUUGUUAUAUGUUCAGUUAAAAAAAGAAGCUUGUUUUACAUAGUUUUAAAUAUACUUCUUUUCCAGGGCAGGCACCGUACGCACAAACCAGGUACAGAGGCAUGCCACAAACUUCCAUUGCUUUUGCAUUCUACUAUUGGCAGCUGUGAUGUCAUUGAAGCAGCAAGCUGGUGGGUAGUCCUAUUAUUUGGUUGACCCCGAACAUCUCACAUUCUAAGCCAUGCCCACAACUCUCCACACUGCUACUGUGACAUCACAGAGGGAGGGAGGUAUGGGGAUAGUACAAGCUAGAAUGGGAAAAAGGCAGCGCAACAAGACUCCGUGGCGCAUGCAGAGAUGGGGGUGGGGUUGAAAGGUUGGGGAAGGAGGGAGAGGUCUGGCCCAGGGUUGCAGUCAGAUAUUCGGAAGAGGGUGGGGUUAAAGUAGAGGAAAACGGACGAUGUUCAUGUUUGUUUGUUUUUGUUUUUGUUGUUUUUUCUUCUUUUUUUUUUUUUCUUUUUUUUGCACUACGUUACUUCUAUGUAUUUUAAAUCACAUUUAGUUUCUUAAAUUUAUACAACAUUAUGUCACAGAUGAGGCUCAUUGUGGUUUGUAUCUCUCCCUGUGCUGGUACUGUGAGGAGGAUAGAGACAGAGAGAGAUUAUGGAUAUUGCAUCAGAGGAGCAAUAUUAGACUGGGAAGCAUGACCACAAUUCAGCAAUUUUGUAGUAAGUAUUUUUCCCUAAACCCGAAUUGUGAAAUUACCCACAAAGUGCAAGUGUAAUCAAGUCAUUAUUAAAGCUUCAUCAAAUAGGUACACAAAUAGAUAUGUGCUAAAAUCGGAUCAAUGACAACUGUGUGAUACAGAUUAUCACAGUAUAUGAAAUGUGUGUACUUUUAGGAUCAAAUUUCAAGCUAUUCUUUUUUUUCUAGAUUUCAGAAAAGUGACUUUUCUGUAGCAAUUAUAUCUGUAAACGAGUUUCACUGACUGUUACUUUUAAGUGUAAAGAAACAUCUUUUUCUUUAUCGUUCUCUUUAACUUGAUGAACAUUCAUGUUUUUCUAGUAAUUUCUGACCUUAAUGUUGAUAAUGUGGCUCAGCACUAGGAACCUGCUUAACAAAACAAAUAAAGAUUAUAUUGCAAAGUUUUUAUCGUAACCUAUUAAACGGGGGGUGCUUAGGGAUAUAAAUCACUGGGUUCAUAAUAUUCCCCAUUUCUAGAUCUUUUUGUUCAUUGGUUAGACACAGUUAAAAAGUCUGUCCUUUGGACUAAAAAUUACAAUUAGUUGGACUGUUUGACUCCACCAGACUGCUGCUGUUGCAAGUUUCAAACGUACUUCCUCAUGAGGAAGGUGGCAUCUGAAAAGGUGGAUCAAACCUUACUACCUCCUUUCCUCCAGUUCCGAUGUCCACUGGAUCAUGAACUUUGUUUAUAGUGGUCUGUGCUACUGUGCCUUGAUUCAUGUGUUUCAAGGGUGAAUCUGUCACUGCAAACAAAUUUACAUUUAUAUCCAAUUAAGAUAAAAUCAUCUGGGCUAUUCAUUUGUUCAUGGCGUUUCAGGGCAAGAUGACCAUGAAAAGAAAUAGUAAGAGCAGAAAAUGAAAUAAAAUAAA